CAAGACCCCCCCCCCCCCCCCCCCCCGGGGGCUGAUGAUGAGGAAAGCGAGAAUCUUGCUUUUACAUUUUCUCGGAAAGCAUGUGGUAAAUUUUUUAUUGAGCGCUGAGUAAACAGGUGGCGGAUGCCACACCCACUAACAACCCUCCCUCCACGGCAGUUACUGACUGAACCACAAGCUGAGACGUGAAACAACAACUGAUGCCAACUGUCGCUGUGACCUUCCACGAGAAGCCAAGAGCCCAGAAUUUGGAGAGGACGCGAGACACGACAAACGAGAGGGAACGAGAAAACGAAA